UAAGCAAUUAAGGGCACACGGUGGAUGCCUAGGCAUGCAGAGGCGAAGAAGGACGUGUAAAGCUGCGAUAAGCUGCGGGGAGUUGCAAAAGAACUGUGAUCCGCGGAUUUCCGAAUGGGGCAACCCACUCUAAUUUAUUAGGGUAUCCUUUCGAGGAGGCAUACCCGGGGAACUGAAACAUCUAAGUACCCGGAGGAAGAGAAAACAAUCAAGUGAUUCCGCAAGUAGUGGCGAGCGAACGCGGAACAGCCCAAACCGCAUCCUACGGGGUGCGGGGUAGUAGGACCUGCGUAAUUCAAGUAAUCUUAAAUCGAAGCUGUCUGGAAAGCAGCGCCACAGAAGGUGAAAGCCCUGUAGGUGUACCGAUUAUUUGAAGGCGGGUAUCCUGAGUAGCGCGAGACCGGUGAAAUCUUGCGUGAACCAGCCGGCACCAUCCGGUAAGGCUAAAUACAUCUGCAUGACCGAUAGUGAACCAGUACCGUGAGGGAAAGGUGA
rnacentral:rRNA from 1 species